GCUCAGACGGCUCAGCUGGUUAAAGCCUCUGUCUUACAAUUGGAAGAUAUGGGGUUCGAAUCUCGCUUCGAGCA